rnacentral:rRNA from 1 species
AGAGUUUGAUCCUGGCUCAGGAUGAAUGCUGGCGGCGUGGAUGAGGCAUGCAAGUCAAGGGGACCGCAAGGUAACCGGCAGACGAGGUAGUAAUACGCAGGUACAUACCGAAGAGUCAGGUAUAGCUCGUCGAAAGACGGGGUAAUCCCUGAUAGUCCCGCAAGGGUAAAGGAGUCUAAUUUAUUAGACUUGCGCUUUUUGAAUGGCCUGCGCCGCAUCAGGUAGUUGGUAGGGUAAUGGCCUACCAAGCCUAUGACGCGUAGGGGAGCUGAGAGGCUGACCCCCACCGAUGGGACUGAGACACGGCCCAUACACCUACGGGUGGCUGCGGUCGAGAAUCUUCCGCAAUGGGCGAAAGCCUGACGGAGCGACGCCGCGUGAUUGAUGAAGUCCUUCGGGACGUAAAGAUCUUUUAUGCGUGAGAAAGUUAUUGAUAGUAGCGCAUGAAUAAGGGGCUCCUAACUCUGUGCCAGCAGGAGCGGUAAUACAGAGGCCCCAAGCAUUAUCCGGAAUCACUGGGCGUAAAGGGUGUGUAGGCGGCUAUGUAGUCUUUUGUGAAAGAUCCCCGGCUUAACCGGGGAGACGCAGGGGAAACGGCAUAGCUUGAGGGUAUGAGAGGUAAAGGGAACUCAUGGUGUAGGGGUGAAAUCCGUUGAUAUCAUGGGGAACACCAAAUGCGAAGGCACUUUACUGGCAUACUCCUGACGCUGAAACACGAAAGCGUGGGAAUCGAAUGGGAUUAGAUACCCCAGUAGUCCACGCCCUAAACGAUCCUAACUAGUUAUGAGGAGUAUCGACCCUCUUCGUGACGUAGCUAACGCGUUAAGUUAGGCGCCUGGGUAGUACGAUCGCAAGAUUAAAACUCAAAGGAAUAGACGGGGACUUGCACAAGCGGUGGAUCAUGCGGCUCAAUUCGAUGAUAAACGAAGAACCUCACCAGGGUUAGAAACCAAGACGAUUGCUCCGGGAAACCGGAGAGUCCGCAAGGCGGCUUGGCAGGUGAUGCAUGGUCGUCGUCAGUUCGUGGCUUGAGUUGUUCCCUUCAGUGGGGUAAAGAACAACAACCCUCGUUGCCUGUUUUAUAUGUCAGGCGAGACUGCCCCCUCACGGGGGAGGAAGGUGAGGAUGACGCCAGAUCAGCAUGUCCCUCUGAUAUCCUGGGCUGCACGCAUGAUACAAUGGGCGUGACAACGCGACGCGACGGGGUAACCCUGAGCAAAUCGUAAUAAACACGCCCCCAGUUCGGAUUGAGGUCUGCAACUCGACCUCAUGAAGCCGGAAUCGCUAGUAAUCGCGGGUCAGCUAUACCGCGGUGAAUACGUUCUCAAGUCUUGUACUCACCGCCCGUCAACUCAAGGGAGCCGGGAAUACCCGAAGCCCAACGCAAGUUGGUUCACGGUAAGUUCGGUGACAGGGAGUAAGUCGUAACAAGGUAGCC